GACGAACGCUGGCGGCGUGCCUAAUACAUGCAAGUCGAGCGGAUCAUCCCUUCGGGGAUGGUUAGCGGCGGACGGGUGAGUAACACGUAGGCAACCUGCCUGUAAGAUCGGGAUAACUACCGGAAACGGUAGCUAAGACCGGAUAGCUGGUUUCCCCGCAUGGGGGAAUCAUGAAACACGGAGCAAUCUGUGGCCUACGGAUGGGCCUGCGGCGCAUUAGCUAGUUGGCGGGGUAACGGCCUACCAAGGCGACGAUGCGUAGCCGACCUGAGAGGGUGAACGGCCACACUGGGACUGAGACACGGCCCAGACUCCUACGGGAGGCAGCAGUAGGGAAUCUUCCGCAAUGGACGCAAGUCUGACGGAGCAACGCCGCGUGAGUGAGGAAGGCCUUCGGGUCGUAAAGCUCUGUUGCCCUAGACGAACGCCUCUUGGAGUAACUGCCAAGAGGGUGACGGUAUAGGAGAAGAAAGCCCCGGCUAACUACGUGCCAGCCGCCGCUGUAA
rnacentral:rRNA from 1 species